UACGGAGGGUGCAAGCGUUAUCCGGAUUCACUGGGCUUAAAGGGCGCGCAGGCGGAUUGGUAAGUCAGUGGUGAAAGGCUUAAGCUUAACUUGGGAACUGCCAUUGAUACUAUCAGUCUUGAAUGUUGUUGAGGUUUGCGGAAUGGGUCAUGUAGCGGUGAAAUGCAUAGAUAUGACCCGGAACACCUAUUGCGAAGGCAGCAGGCUAAGCAAAUAUUGACGCUGAGGCUCGAAAGCGUGGGGAUCAAACAGG
rnacentral:rRNA from 1 species